rnacentral:rRNA from 1 species
UUGAACGCUGGCGGCAGGCCUAACACCUGCAAGUCGAGCGGAUGAAGGGAGCUUGCUCCUGGAUUCAGCGGCGGACGGGUGAGUAAUGCCUAGGAAUCUGCCUGGCAGUGGGGGAUAACGUCCGGAAACGGGCGCUAAUACCGCAUACGUCCUGAGGGAGAAAGUGGGGGAUCUUCGGACCUCACGCUAUCAGAUGAGCCUAGGUCGGAUUAGCUAGUUGGUGGGGUAAAGGCCUACCAAGGCGACGAUCCGUAACUGGUCUGAGAGGAUGAUCAGUCACACUGGAACUGAGACACGGUCCAGACUCCUACGGGAGGCAGCAGUGGGGAAUAUUGGACAAUGGGCGAAAGCCUGAUCCAGCCAUGCCGCGUGUGUGAGGAAGGUCUUCGGAUUGUAAAGCACUUUAAGUUGGGAGGAAGGGCAGUAAGUUAAUACCUUGCUGUUUUGACGUUACCAACAGAAUAAGCACCGGCUAACUUCGUG